ACUCCUACGGGAGGCAGCAGUGGGGAAUAUUGCACAAUGGGGGAAACCCUGAUGCAGCCAUGCCGCGUGUGUGAAGAAGGCCUUCGGGUUGUAAAGCACUUUCAGCGAGGAGGAAAGGGUGUAAGUUAAUACCUUACAUCUGUGACGUUACUCGCAGAAGAAGCACCGGCUAACUCCGUGCCAGCAGCCGCGGUAAUACGGAGGGUGCGAGCGUUAAUCGGAAUUACUGGGCGUAAAGCGUGCGCAGGCGGUUUGUUAAGCGAGAUGUGAAAGCCCCGGCUCAAGCCUGGGAACCGGCAAUUCGAACUUGGACAAACGUAAGAGUCAUUGUAGUAGGGGGGUAGAAUUGGCCAGGUAG
rnacentral:rRNA from 1 species